rnacentral:rRNA from 1 species
UACGAAGGGUGCAAGCGUUGCUCGGAAUUAUUGGGCGUAAAGGGUAGGUAGGUGGUGACAUUUGUCUGGGGUGAAAUCCCUGAGCUUAACUCAGGAAGUGCCUUGGAAACGGUGUCACUAGAGUGCUGGAGAGGUUCGCAGAAUUCUUGGUGUAGCGGUGAAAUGCGUAGAGAUCAAGAGGAAUACCAGAGGCGAAGGCGGCGAACUGGACAGUUACUGACACUGAACUACGAAAGCGUGGGGAGCAAACAGG